rnacentral:rRNA from 1 species
UACGGAGGAUCCGAGCGUUAUCCGGAAUUAUUGGGUUUAAAGGGUGCGUAGGCGGCCAUUUAAGUCAGCGGUGAAAUUUUGCAGCUUAACUGUAACAGUGCCGUUGAUACUGUUUGGCUAGGAUUUGGUUGUAGUGUGCGGAAUGUGUGGUGUAGCGGUGAAAUGCUUAGAUAUCACACAGAACACCGAUUGCGAAGGCAGCACACUAAGUCAUUAUUGACGCUGAGGCACGAAAGCGUGGGGAGCAAACAGGAUUAGA